rnacentral:rRNA from 1 species
GAUGAACGCUAGCGGCAGGCCUAAUACAUGCAAGUCAAACGAAGCAGCAAUGCUUAGUGGCGCACGGGUGCGUAACGCGUAUGUAACCUACCUUUUACUGGGGGAUAACUUCUCGAAAGAGAGGCUAAUACCGCAUAAUGCAUUAAGGUCACCUGGUCUAAAUGUUAAAGAUUUAUUGGUAAAAGAUGGGCAUGCGUCCAAUUAGCUAGUUGGUAGUGUAACGGACUACCAAGGCUACGAUUGGUAGGGGGUCUGAGAGGAUGGUCCCCCACACUGGUACUGGGAUACGGACCAGACUCCUACGGGAGGCAGCAGUAGGGAAUAUUGGGCAAUGGACGAAAGUCUGACCCAGCCAUGCCGCGUGCAGGAUGAAGGCCCUCUGGGUUGUAAACUGCUUUUGACAGGGAAGAAAUACACCAUGCGUGGUGAGCUGACGGUACCUGUAGAAUAAGCACCGGCUAACUCCGUGCCAGCAGCCGCGGUAA